rnacentral:rRNA from 1 species
ACCCGUUGAUCCUGCGGGAGGUCGCUACUAUUAGGGUUCGACUAAGCCAUGCAAGUCAGAGGGGCUCUUCGGAGUCACAGGCAAAAUGCUCAGUAACACGUCGUUAAUCUAACCUUAGAUCUGGAAUAACCUUGGAAAACUGAGGCUAAAACCGGAUAUGGGAAAAUAAUUGGAAAAUGUUUUCCUUUAAAAGCAAUGUCUAAGGAUGAGACGGCGGCGGAUUAGGUUGUUGGCGGGGUAAUGGCCCACCAAGCCGACGAUCCGUAGGGGCCGUGAGAGCGGUAGCCCCGAGAAGGACACUGAGAUACUGGUCCUAGCCCUACGGGGUGCAGCAGGCGCGAAACCUUUACAAUGCACGAAAGUGUGAUAAGGGAACCCUAGGUGCUCAUGUUUUACAUGGGCUUUUGCCAAGAAUAAAUAUCUUGGCGAAUAAGUGGUGGGAAAGACUGGUGCCAGCAGCCGCGGUAACACCAGCGCCACAAGUAGGGACCACUACUAUUGGGCCUAAAGCGUCCGUAGCCGGCUGAAUAAAUUUCUUGUGAAAUUGUUGGGCUUAACCUAACAACGUGCAGGAAAAACUGUUCAGCUUGGAACCGGGAGAAGUCAGGAGUAUGCUGGGGGGAGCGGUAAAAUGUUAUAAUCCCCGGUAGACUACCAGUGGCGAAGGCGCCUGACUAGAACGGAUUCGACGGUGAGGGACGAAAGCCAGGGGAGCGAAGCGGAUUAGAUACCCGUGUAGUCCUGGCCGUAAACGCUGCGAGCUAGGUGUUGCAUAUUCUACAUGAAUACGCAGUAUCGAAGCGAAGGUGAUAAGCUCGCCGCCUGGAAGUAUGGUCGCAAGGCUGAAACUUAAAGGAAUUGGCGGGGGAGCACUACAAGGGGUGCGGCGUGCGGUUUAAUCUAAUUCAACGCAGAGAAUCUCACCAGAAGCGACGGCAGGAUGAAAGUCAGGCUAAAGGUCUUACUUGACGAGCCGAGAGGUAGUGCAUGGCCGCCGUCAGCUCGUGCUGUAAAGUGUCCUGUUAAGUCAGGCAACGAGCGAGACCUGCAUCUACAAUUGCUAACGGAUUCUUUAGAAUGACUGAGCACAUUGUGGAGACUGCCCUGGAAACAGGGAGGAAGGUGCAGGCUACGGUAGGUCUGUAUGCUCCGAAUCUUCUGGGCUACACGCGCGCAACAAUGGUAAGGACAAUGGGAAGCGACUCCGAAAGGAGGAGCUAAUCCUCGAAACCUUAUCCAAGUCUAGAUUGAGGAUUGUAACUUAUCCUCAUGACAAUGGAAUCCCUAGUAAUCAGAGUUUAUCAUACUCCGGUGAACAUGUCCCUGCUCCUUGCACACACCGCCCGUCAAGCCACCCGAGUAGGGUUUAGGUGAGAGGUAAAUUUUAUUUGCAUCGAACCUAAGCUCAGCGAGGAGGGCUAAGUCGUCACAAGGUA